CUUAGGUUUGACUAGGGUUUGUUUAGUUAGAUUAAGGGAGGUUAUCUCCUAUACUGUGGCACUAGCGCUAUUAAUCCCACGGUAACGUGAUACUAGAAUCAUUAGGUGAGACGUGAAUUAUAUAAUAUAUUAAUGUAUUCGUAAAAAAUACAUUAUAUAUGUGUUAUCCUCCAUACCAUGGCGAUAACACAAGCUAUUAGUGACAAGGUAAUGUGGUACAAUAAGUAGGUGAACAACUUGGAUUAAAUACAGUAUUAAUGUAAUCGGGAAAAUGCAUGAUUUGUCAGCCAAUGUGACUUAGAAAUAUAAAAUGUAGGUAUGUGUUAAUAGCAAAGUGUUGGAAGUGAUGAUGGCGGCGGCGGCCGGCAGGUGACUCUUGCGUCGCUCACUCAGUGUCGUCUGGAAGCUUCGCUCUCGGAACACAAUUAUCACACUGCUGCUCUAGAAACCUCCUCUCCGGCAACACUCUAUCAACAGACGACAUCCAGACACUCAGAGGUGAACAGCGUUACAUACAUAGAGAGGAGGCAGGAUGGUGAAGGAAACUGGAUAUUACGAUGUUCUUGGGGUUAAACCCAGCGCUACUGCAGAUGAAUUAAAAAAAGCAUACCGUAAGCUGGCUCUUAAGUACCAUCCUGAUAAAAAUCCAAAUGAAGGAGAAAAGGUGAGUGAAU